UCGUCGUACGAACGGACCCGCGUGUCCCGGCUGACUCGCUCGACGGUAUACGAAAGGUUUAAGGCCGCUCUUGGAGCGUUCGGCUCGCGGCAAGCGCGCCAGUUGCGUCGGCGAUCGGACCUAGUGCCGAUUCUGACCUCUGGUGACUGUUGGCCGUGAAGUUCUCGAACAGACCUUAGGACCGAUCUGCGACGCUAUAGCUUUGGGUACUUUCAGGACCCGUCUUGAAACACGGACCAAGGAGUCUAGCAUGUGCGCGAGUCAUUGGGAAUCACUAAACCUAAAGGCGCAAUGAAAGUAAAGGUCUUCCUAGCGAAGACUGAGGGAAGACGAGCGGUUCACCCUUAAAAGUGGCCGCUCCGCACUCCCGGGGCGUCUCGUUCUCAUCGCGAGAAGAGGCGCACCAAGAGCGUACACGCUGGGACCCGAAAGAUGGUGAACUAUGCCUGGUCAGGACGAAGUCAGGGGAAACCCUGAUGGAGGUCCGUAGCGAUUCUGACGUGCAAAUCGAUCGUCGGAACUGGGUAUAGGGGCGAAAGACUAAUCGAACCAUCUAGUAGCUGGUUCCCUCCGAAGUUUCCCUCAGGAUAGCUGGCGCUCGUUGCGCACGAGUCUCAUCCGGUAAAGCGAAUGAUUAGAGGCAUUGGGGUCGAAACGACCUCAACCUAUUCUCAAACUUUAAAUGGGUGAG
rnacentral:rRNA from 1 species